rnacentral:rRNA from 1 species
CCCUACGGGGGGCAGCAGUGGGGAAUAUUGCACAAUGGGGGAAACCCUGAUGCAGCGACGCCGCGUGAGCGAAGAAGUAUUUCGGUAUGUAAAGCUCUAUCAGCAGGGAAGAAAAUGACGGUACCUGACUAAGAAGCCCCGGCUAACUACGCGCCCGCAGCCGCGGCAAUACGUAUGGGGCAAGCGUUAUCCGGAUUUACUGGGUGUAAAGGGAGCGUAGGCGGCCUGGCAAGCCUGAUGUG